rnacentral:rRNA from 1 species
CCCUUAGAUGUUCUGGGCCGCACGCGCGCUACACUGAUGCAUUCAACGAGUUCCUACCUUGGCCAAGAGGCCUGGGCAAUCUUUUGAACUUGCAUCGUGAUAGGGAUAGAUUAUUGCAAUUAUUAAUCUUGAACGAGGAAUUCCUAGUAAACGCAGAUCAUCAAUCUGCAUUGAUUACGUCCCUGCCCUUUGUACACACCGCCCGUCGCACCUACCGAUUGAAUGGUCCGGUGAAGCCUCGGGAUUGUGGUUAGUUUCCUUCAUUGGAAGUUAGCCGCGAGAACUUGUCUAAACCUUAUCAUUUAGAGGAAGGUGAAGUCGUAACA